rnacentral:rRNA from 1 species
AAAGUUCCCUUCGGGGAACAAGUAGAGUGGCGCACGGGUGAGUAACACGUAGGUAAUCUACCUUCGGAUGGGGAAUAACAACCGGAAACGGUUGCUAAUACCGCAUAAUGCAGCGGCACCUAAUGGUGACAGUUGUUAAAGCGGGGGAUCGCAAGACCUCGCGUCUGAAGAGGAGCCUGCGGCGGAUUAGCUUGUUGGUGAGGUAAAAGCUCACCAAGGCGAUGAUCCGUAGCCGGCCUGAGAGGGCGGUCGGCCACACUGACACUGACAUACGGGUCAGACUCCUACGGGAGGCAGCAGUCGGGAAUUUUGGGCAAUGGGCGAAAGCCUGACCCAGCAACGCCGCGUGAAGGAUGAAAUCCCUCGGGAUGUAAACUUCGCAAGAACGGGAAGAAUAAGCGAAAGUUAAUAUCUUUCGUGAUGACGGUACCGUUUGUAAGCUCCGGCUAACUCCGUGCCAGCAGCCGCGGUAAUACGGGGGGAGCAAGCGUUGUUCGGAUUUACUGGGCGUAAAGGGCGCGUAGGCGGCCACCGCAAGUCGAUCGUGAAAUCUCCGGGCUUAACCCGGAAAGGUCAACCGAUACUGCGGGGCUAGAGUGCGGAAGGGGCAACUGGAAUUCUUGGUGUAGCGGUGAAAUGCGUAGAUAUCAAGAGGAACACCUGCGGCGAAGGCGGGUUGCUGGGCCGACACUGACGCUGAUGCGCGAAAGCUAGGGGAGCGAACGGGAUUAGAUACCCCGGUAGUCCUAGCCUUAAACGAUGAAUGCUUGGUGUCUGGGGUUUAUAGU